GUCACCGCGAGGUGGGGUGGGAAGGAAACCGGAGACAAAACCCUGCACCGAGGAACACAAACCGCAUAGAAGGCAUGCUGGUUGGGGUUGGCCGGCAAAUGACGGUGAACCCCGUCCCACCAAAACGGCCAGUGUGUAAAUGCGGCGGCGGCAGGGGAAAGUAAAUGUU
rfam:Arthrobacter sp. 7749 genome.